UCGUAUCUUUUCAACUUUAAUAUAAUUCCAAGUAUAAUUUAACCGUCAACAUUACAAAGCUGAAUGCAUUAAAGACUUCACAAUGAUCGAGUUUUACAUCAGGCCAAACCAGCUGUCAGGCAGUUUACAGUGAGGCCAUCAUCAACUUAGAAUUAUCAGUUUUUCAAUAAAUCCUAUUCUAUUAAUUAAACCACAAAAUAUCUAAUUUAUUAAUUACAGUCAGUGGUAUAUAUGUCAAUAUAUUGGAUAUAUAUACUAUAAAAUCAUGUUGAUUUAUAUAAACUUUAUAGCUUUUCUUCUCGGAUUAGACAACGUUGAUUUUUAAAAUUACUUCGCCAAAGAACUCAUAAGAUGGGUCGUUUUUUUAAGCCAUUUAAAACAUUCGCGUCUGUGCUUUAUCAGAUAUAAGACAUUCGAGUUUUAUAUCCGAUAAGGUACUUCUGCUUGUGUUUUAAAUGGUAAACUAUAUAGAUUGUAAUGCAAAAUGACUGAAAAACGGCAAACUUCGCAAGGCUAUAUUAUCCGCAUUUUACAACAUUUCGCAACGAAACUUCGGAAUAUUACUAAUUUUGUGAUGCUCUUUCAAGCUGUGAUGAAAUUGUUGCCCAGACUUGUCUAGAUCAAAAUUUCACUCAUAAGUGAUAAGGGGAAAUGUCUAUUGGGAAGAUCACAUACAUAAAGUUUGAUUGAUUGAUUGAAAAAGCACCGUUUCGAAACCUCGCUUCAUGAGUACGAAGUGCUGUGACGAUAGCUUUGAAAUUGACACGAGCUUUAACAAACCUCAAUUUCUAGGGCCAGCGGUACGAAGGCUGAAUAGCGCAAUGCAUUGGUCAGUGAUUUUUUCAAAGACGAGAGAGAUUAAAAUAGCUCUGUCGAAGUAUUUCACUGCUUAAACGUCCUACAAAUAGUAAACAGAAAACACCCGUACCCGUUUUGCCUGUUACGCGUCUAGACUACAUGGUUUACUGCGGGGAAACGGGUAGAAAUUACGGGAAAACAUGCAUGCUGACAUCAGCUACAUUUCGUAAACAAAAUGGCGAUGAGCUAAUGAGAGUUUUAUAUAUUUAUUGUGAGGUCAAUAACUGUAAUUUUACAGCUUUUUAUGCAUUUUUACAAAGGUUGGAAAAAUUCCCAUUCCCAUUGAGAGCGCUAUUCGGCCUUCGUCAAAACUAGAUCUUCGAUAUAUCAAAAUCACGAUUUUAUCUAAACGUCAUCAAAGACGUCUUGGAACAUAACUCGGUGUUGUUUCCCCUUCAAACAUUCCUGGACCAAAUUUUGUAUAUCUGUCUUCAUGUCCAGUGGCUUGAGAUUUGGUGUGUAUCUCUUUCUAGGCUGCCCUGUGUGGUCGAUCAGGAAUUUCUCGAAAUUCCAUUUGAUGUCCGUCGUUCGAAUUGGCGAGUAGAAUCGUUUGCUCGGAUCACCAAUGAGUGUCGUGGGGUUUGGACACUGUGACU